rnacentral:lncRNA from 1 species
CUGGCAAUGCCAGCCCAGAGCUUGUGUCUCCUCACAGCAGAAGACAGCAAAGGCUUCUGCAAUCCAGCUCACUGGGGACAAGGGAAGGGUGACUUUGGUUUAAAGAAGACCCUGACUCUCAGGCCUGGCUUGGACCUUGCCAGCACUCUGGAGACCCGGGAUCCCUACCUUAGAGAACAAAGCUGGGAAGAGCUGCGUGAGGAUCGAGUUUCCUCCAGUUGACACCGCCAUCGCCAUCAUGAAGUAUGGUUGCCUCGGUGACCUUCAAAGACCUUGGCCCACACUCAAGGCCAAAGAACACACUGAAAAAAUACCAACAGUCAGGCAAGUGACAGGGUUUCUCUGCAUAGCCCUGGCUGUUCUGGAACUUGCUUCGUAGACCACGCUGGCCUCAAAUCCACAGAGAUCUGCCUCUUGACCAAAUGCUGGGAUAAAAGGCAUGUGCCACUACCAACCACCCAGCUGAGAGACCAUCAUAAAGGGGCAGGCCUGGAAGCA